UAGUUGGUAGGGUAACGGCCUACCAAUGACAGCGAUGCCUAUGGGGUCUGAGAGGAUGAUCCCCCACAUUGGCACUGAGACACGGGCCAGACUCCUACGGGAGUGCAGCAGUGAGGAAUAUUGGGCAAUGGGCGAAAGCUUGACCCAGCCAUGCCGCGUGCAGGAUGACUGUCCUAUGGAUCGUAAACUGCUUUUUCACGGGAAGAAUCCCCCCGUUCUUCGGGGGUUGACGGUACCGUAUGAAUAAGGGUCGGCUAACUCCGUGCCAGCAGCCGCGGUAAUACGGAGGACCCGAGUGUUAUCCGGAUUUAACUGGGUUUAAAGGGUGCGCAGGCGGAAUAGUAAGUCGAUGGUGAAAGGCUACAGGCUUAACUGUAGAAUUGCCAUUGAUACUGCUAUUCUUGAGUGCUGUCGAAGCGAGCGGAAUGUGUAGUGUAGCGGUGAAAUGCAUAGAUAUUACACAGAACACCGAUAGCGUAAGCAGCUCGCUAGGCUGUUACUGACGCUGAGGCACGAAAGCGUGGGUAUCGAACAGGAUUAGAUACCCUGGUAGUCCACGCUGUAAACGAUGAUCACUAGUUGUUGGCGAUAUAUUGUCAGCGACUGAGCGAAAGCGUUAAGUGAUCCACCUGGGAAGUACGUCCGCAAGGAUGAAACUCAAAGGAAUUGACGGGGGCUCGCACAACCGGUGGAACACGUGGUUCAAUUCGAUGCUACGCGAGGAACCUUACCUGGGAUUAAAUGCAGUCCGACUCUUAGACGAAAUCGAAGUUCCCUUCGGGGCGUUCUACAAGGUGUUGCACGCCUGUCGUCAGCUCGUGCUAUGAGAUGUCGGGUUAAGUCCCUUCACGAGCCCAUCCCCUAUGGUUAGUUGCCAGCGGGUAAUGCUGGGGACUCUUGCUCAUCUGGCAGUGUAAGCUGGAGGAAGGUGGGGAUGACGUCAAGUCAGCAUGGCCCUUAUGUCCAGGGCUACCACACGUGUUACAAUGGCCGGUACAAAGGGCAGCUACCACGCGAGUGGAUGCUAAUCUCUAAAGCCGGUGUUAGUUCGGAUCGGAGUCUGCAAUUC
rnacentral:rRNA from 1 species